rnacentral:rRNA from 1 species
UACGUAGGGGGCAAGCGUUGUCCGGAAUUAUUGGGCGUAAAGAGCUCGUAGGCGGCUUGUCGCGUCGGCUGUGAAAACCUGGGGCUCAACCCCGGGCCUGCAGCCGAUACGGGCAAGCUAGAAUUCGGUAGGGGAGACCGGAAUUCCUGGUGUAGCGGUGAAAUGCGCAGAUAUCAGGAGGAACACCGGUGGCGAAGGCGGGUCUCUGGGCCGAUAUUGACGCUGAGGAGCGAAAGCGUGGGGAGCGAACAGG